rnacentral:rRNA from 1 species
UACGGGGGGGGCAAGCGUUGUUCGGAAUUACUGGGCGUAAAGGGCGCGUAGGCGGCCCGCUAAGUCGAACGUGAAAUCCCCGAGCUCAACUCGGGAACUGCGUCCGAUACUGGCGGGCUUGAAUCCGGGAGAGGGAUGCGGAAUUCCAGGUGUAGCGGUGAAAUGCGUAGAUAUCUGGAGGAACACCGGUGGCGAAGGCGGCAUCCUGGACCAACACUGACGCUGAGUGAGCGAAAGCCAGGGGAGCAAACGGG